UUACUUGUAACAAUAUUAUUCAACUCUAUGCACUAUCAGUGUAUGUGUAAACCUUGCUCAACCCACAAUAGAGAUAAAAUGCAUUACAAAUAAAUAAUUCAUUAGAUUACAUUGCAUGAUGCUAUUUACUCAUCCAUCUGGUAACAACAGCGUGGUGAUUUGUCACAUUCACCUACGUCACAAUUACGUCAACGUGAUUUUAUCAAAUAAGAUUCUACAAACCGAUAACAUUUUGUAGAAAUAACAGCUUAUGUGGUGAUACAUGAUUUUUUGAGGCGACAUAAUUAGGCAGACAACGGAUUUGCAAGCGGCAAGCCGUGAUCCAGCCAUAAAGCUAUCGUAUCACAACCUGAAUCAAGCAGCCAUAAAAUAUGUAGGACUGGCUAUUAACUUGUUCAAAGCACGAGCCCUAACGGAACUAGCUGCAGUCCUACAUUAUUUCAGUCCUCCAGGUUGCAAGUUUGCAAAAGCAUCAUAAUUAACAUGAUCUAUGAACAUAUAGGCAAACGUCAUCUUGAUCUAUGAACAUAUAGGCAAACCUCCACUAGCUCCCAUGUCCAACCCCGCUCCUUCCUGGUUCAAUCAAGAAGCAAAAUGUUGUUUAUACAUAAGAGGCACAACAAAAAUCGUAUAAAGACACGCGAAAAUGUGAAUAAGAUCACAACAAAGUCAAGGCAUAACAAGCUAAUAACUGAAUUACACUGAAACUGGUCACUUGCAACAUAUAAAAAAACAGUGGCUAACCCAAAUAAAAGGAGUACAGUAUAUUUGUCUAGAUCUCUAUAAUCUGAAAUCUUGCAAAAUAUCAGAAAGCAGUACUGCAGGAUGUGAGAAGCUUCCUGAAAAUCUGUUAGCUGCAAAUAAGCGCUAUACCAAGCAAAUAAUUAUGGGAUUAACUCCUGAAAAUUAAGCCUAUAUGACAUUCAUUUGACAGUUUUCUUUUUCCUCAACAUGCGACCAUUUCUCCCAUGUUCUUUUACUCUGGUGUUGGCUAGUAUUCAAAAUAGCAAGCCACUCCCAAUAUGUUUUAGGGGAUCUUGUAAAUGAAGAAAGUAAAGUGGGAAAGACAAGCAAUAAGAACAAUUCAAAUUUUUUUUUUUUGAAAAUCUCACUAUAUAUUCCAAAGGAAAUUAAAGUACAUACAUAAUAAGCAUGAAAAAAAUUUCUAUCUUAGGUUACGUUAAAUCAAAUUAAUGGCAUAAUUUGAUUCCACCGUAUUUUGAAAAGGAAAAACUUUUAAGUCGCUCAAAUUCCUCAGCCAAUAUCUACCUUUUCUGUUAAAUUGAGACAAGAAAGAUAUUGCUGGCAGGACCAGGGCGGACAAAUUAAGACCUGAAAUGGGCACAGAAGCAACUCAAAUCAAUCUGCUAUACUGUGCUACAGAACAUUACCCCACACACCCCAAAUAAGAAAAACGAAAACCGAAAAGAUAAGAGGACGAGGAGGCGUGGUGAGGUGGGGAAGAAAACAGGUAUAUGAAUGCAAAAACUUUUACUAAAUCAAAAAGAGGAGAGCUAAAAUGAAAGAAAGAGUUGAAAUCACGUAAAAUCACUUGAUUUCAACAAUUGCCUAGUCAAGACAUGGUUUGAAGCAUGAACUCACAAUAUGACCGCAAAAGCAAAAUUAAACCAAAACAUAAAAGAACAAAGAUACUAUAUAUUACCUUUCAAUUUCCACAGAGGCCAACUCUUAUGGAAAAGGUCCCCAAGAAAAUGACACUUAACCAUAGGGAUCCUUGUACUCCUUUGGGACUUAUUUUUAUCCCAUCUUCCCAUUUCCAAGAUCAGUAAUGAAUUUUGACAAGUUUCUGAAGUUCUAACUUAGGCUAAAGGUGGUAAGCCAGAUGAAGUUUAUGGCUUGUUAAGAUGUGUUAUCUCAUCUGUGUUUGGCAAUCCACUUUAUAUAGAGUAGAAUAGCAAGAAUGGAUAAGCACAAGAGCUUAAGCAAAAGAAGAUACGACAGUACACGUCAAUUACCAUUGAAAAACUAAAAUUUUCAAAUUUAGAAGCUUUGCAUGUGCAAGACGUGUAAACCAUGCUAAAAAGUUGAAGCCACCGGUAAGUUACACGUGAAACCAUUAUAAACUACACAUACACUCAACUUUAUCAUAAGAAGGCAAAUAUUCAAUACGUUGAGUUAAUUUCACUCAUUGUAACACUUAUACUGUUAAAGCACAAGAUCAAAAAACAAGAUAAGAACAUAAUGCUUACCAAUGAAAAAUCCAAAAAAAAAAUAAUAAUAAUAAUAAAAUCAAGGCUUAUGCAUGCACUAAACAUGUAAAAUAUCAGAAAAAUUAAAACCAAUAUGAAUUAUAUGAGCAAUUAUCUGCUGUAUAAGAAGAAUGGAACAUCCCACUAAGUUUACGUAAACGCUGAUUACACUAACCAAAUAAAAAUGAAAGAGAUGUAAAUGAAAAUAGAUGACAUAUUAUAUGGAAAGAGUAUAUUUAAGGAAAAUGCAUGCACAAGAUAUUAUCCAAUAACUUACUUUCAAACGCCGAUUCACUACAAACAACUCCAUAGUUGGAAAAUGUCAAUCAAAAAAUAAAAUGAUUUUCACAACUUUUCCUGUGCACCCAUGUUGUUUUAUCUCAAGAAUCUUAGUAAUGUCAAAUAUAUGUAUAAUUACAUUUGAAUGAAUAGCAAUUAGCACUAGCAUGCAUAUCGUGAAAGAUAGGACUCAAAGCCAACAAAACUUGCAUAAUUUUGCAAAUUGAGAUUCGUACUUCACCCCUUCCUCCUCCACAAGUAACUACAUUAUGUGGCAUAUUCAACUUAAGAAUGAUCUUUGUCUGUAACCUGCCUUAUUUCAACACCAAUAAUAACCGUGCGUUCAAGUUUCAUUCAAAAUUUCACAUUAACAUAACAACAAAAUCUCAUAGUCCUCAAAACGGCACACAAGCUACAGAGUAAGUACUCAACCCCUUAUCUGAUGUACAUAGCUUCAUCAUCAGCCAAGCUCAAGUUCACUACAGUGAAGCUCAUUUAAUCAACUUCAAGAGACCAAUAGCGUUGGUUUUGUUAUUGAAUACUCCACUAAGAUAGUCUUGUAAGCACAACACAAGAGCUAACUCAACCUUAGAAUCCCGGAAAUUAUUUAUAUUCUUCGAAUUCCAUUAGUUUCUUUGCCAAAUUGUUGCUAAAUUUGUAGCUUAAAGUUGACAGAAUUAGAGUAAUAAAUUGUGUUAGUUUUGAUGUUGUCAUUAGGUAUACCGAGAAAAUAUGUACAGGUGAUGCCUAAUCCGGUAUAUAAAAUUAAAGCACGUAAGAUUGAAUCGAGUAUGAUUUUAACAAUUUUAUCAACCGAAUCGCUAUAAAAAUCAUUAACACUAAAAUCCAGAAAAUGAAGGCACAAGAAAGAUAAAACGUCGCCGUAAAAUUAGUAGUAUGAAAACUGUGAUGUAUUUUUAAGCUUACCGGUCCGCAGAUCGCAGAUUUUUAGGCUUAAAAUGAAGCAUCCAUUCCAAUGCUGACUGCUGAGUUUGAACAGUGAUCGAUGAUUCAGUUGUUUUAAUAUUUCAGCUACGAUAAGAGAAGUUUUUAAAUCCCUCUAAAUUUCGUAUAAAUCCUCCUCUUUAAGUGAAAUUACCUAAAUAACCAUAGAUAAAUUCUUU
rnacentral:lncRNA from 1 species